rnacentral:tRNA from 1 species
GGGUUGCUAACUCAACGGUAGAGUACUCGGCUUUUAACCGACUAGACCCGGGUUCGAAUCCCGGGCAACCCA